UUCCCCUAGUAACGGCGAGUGAAGCGGGAAGAGCUCAAACUUGAAAUCUCUGUUGCUUGCAACAGCGAAUUGUAGUCUCGAGAAGUGUUUUCAAGGCGGAUGCACUGUGCCAAAGUUGUUUGGAACGACACAUCGUAGAGGGUGACAAUCCCGUAUGCGGCACAGUGUACCGUUCACGAUGCACUUUCUAUGAGUCGGGUUGCUUGGGAAUGCAGCCCAAAAUGGGAGGUAAACUCCUUCUAAAGCUAAAUAUGGGCACGAGACCGAUAGCGAACAAGUACCGUGAGGGAAAGAUGAAAAGCACUUUGAAAAGAAAGUUAAUAGUACGUGAAACCGUUAGUAGGGAAGCGCAUGGAAUUAGCAAUGCGCCGUCGAGAUUCAGGCUGAUUGCGGUCGAUACCGGUGUUGUACAGAUCUGAAUGGACUGUCGGCAUCGGUCGUCUUCCGUAGCUAGUCGCAUUUCCCGGCGGUGCGCGUCAACGAGUGUUGAAACCGGAUGACAAGCUUCGUGAGAAGGUAGCUGUCUUCGGACGGUGUUAUAGCUUGCGGAUGCCAGUUCGGGGUCGACAGAGGUGUCGCGGCACMUGCUCUUUUGGGCUGGCCUCUCCGUUCUCAGUCGGUUGUCAAACAUAUCGGACUGCGUGCAGUGCGAUUGAACCGCUGCCGGCUGUUGGAUGGAAGAGUGCACMCACUGUGCCAAGGUCGUUGGCGGUCAUAUGGUUUCAUGCGGCCCGUCUUGAAACACGGACCAAGGAGUCUGACAUGUGUGCGAGUCUUAGGGUGAUUGAAACCCGUGGGCAUAAUGAAAGUAAAGGCUCUUCGGAGCUGAAGUGAGAUCGRUACGGUUCGCCGUGCCGCGCAUCAUUGACCGACCUAUUCUACUCUUAGAAAGGUUUGAGUAAGAGCACAUCUGUUGGGACCCGAAAGAUGGUGAACUAUG
rnacentral:rRNA from 1 species